CGGGUGAGUAAUGCGUGACCAACCUCGCCCCAUGCUCCAGAAUAGCUCUUGGAAACGGGUGGUAAUGCUGGAUGCUCCAACUUGACGCAUGUCUUGUUGGGAAAGUGUUUAGUGGCAUGGGAUGGGGUCGCGUCCUAUCAGCUUGUAGGCGGGGUAAUGGCCCACCUAGGCUUCGACGGGUAGCCGGCCUGAGAGGGCGGACGGCCACAUUGGGACUGAGAUACGGCCCAGACUCCUACGGGAGGCAGCAGUG
rnacentral:rRNA from 1 species